rnacentral:antisense_RNA from 1 species
CAGGAUCUCACCUGGAUUUCAACUCUGGACUUUAAAUUCCCCAGUGGCAAGGGACAAGAAGAAGAGGCUCAGAGAGGUUAAAUAACUUCCCAAGGCCACCGGGUAAGAAACCGUGGGAUGUGAAUGCAGCUGAGGCUGUUGGAUGCCAGAGCCUAGACACACAGCAGAGCCUCAUUCUUCAGCCUCCCGGGUCCUCUAAUGUAGUGUGUCCAGAGCUGAGCCCACCUAGAACUGCCUGCCUUUUCUCCAUAGAUGGUACCACUCAGACACCUGGGAGACGUCCUAGACUCCAUCCUCUCUGUUGCCGCAAAACAUAACCAGUUGCUUCUUGAGUCUUUCUGUGAUGUGCACCUGCCUCCAUCCCAUGGCCACUGCCUCAGCGUCAAGGCCCUCAUGAACUCUCAUCUUUGUAUUUGCAAGAACCUCCUUACAAGCCCCCUCCAAGCUACCUUCCACAGAGCAACUAAAGAAAUCUAACUAGAAUAUAAAUGGUCACAGCUUAAUACCACCACCUCCUCCCAGAGUGCUCAGGGGUUCCCCAUGGCCUGCGGGGUUGGUCUCCCAGCUCAGGAGGCCCUUCAUAAUCAGGCCUUACUCACCUCUCUGGCUUCUUCCUGGCAACUUGGCUCCAGCUAUGCCAAAUUACCUGUGGUCCCCCAAGCACAGCAUACCCUUUCACAAUUCUGUGUCUUUACUGUGCUGUUCCUCCUGCCAGCAAUACCCUUCCUUGUCUUCUCUAUCCAACAAACUCUUAUUCAUCCCUCAAAACCCUGAUAUGGCAUCUUCUCCCUUAUUCUGAAGCUUUCUCUGACCUCCCAAAGACAAAGGGUUUAAUACCUCCAGCAACACAGCCCCGCACUGUAAUGAAAGGGCUGGCUUCCCUAGAAAG